AGCUCCAAUAGCGUAUAUUAAAGUUGUUGCAGUUAAAAAGCUCGUAGUUGGAUUUUGGUAUGGAUGCGGUGGUCCGCCGAUUGGUGAGUACUGCCGUGUGCAUGCCCCCUCUCAUAGACCUGCGGUGGUCUUAACUGGCUGCUGUAUGGGAUAUGGGAUUUUUACUUUGAAAAAAUUAGAGUGUUCAAAGCAGGCCUUUGCUUGAAUACAUUAGCAUGGAAUAAUGAAAUAGGACCUCGGUUUUAUUUUGUUGGUUUCUAAAACCGAAGUAAUGAUUAAUAGGGAUAGUUGGGGGCAUUAGUAUUUAAUUGUCAGAGGUGAAAUUCUUGGAUUUAUGAAAGACUAACUUCUGCGAAAGCAUUUGCCAAGGAUGUUUUCA
rnacentral:rRNA from 1 species